UCUACUUUCAUCCCUGGAGGAGUAACAAUGCCCAGAUGUAACCUUCUGCAGUAAUACUGGACAAAGUCUACGGAACAGCUAUUUUUAGAUAUUGGACAACCGGCAGCACACACCAUGAUCCCUGAGGCAAGGGAGCCGAUGAGAAAAACACUACCUCAAGGAUUUAUUAUAUUGAAGUUUCUCUACUGACAAGUGCAAGGGCCAACUGGAUGCUUCGGGGACCUUCCUCUUCAUGGUCUUGAAGUCUGCAUACCCCAGGAUCAAUCUACUGGGUGGCUCUCAUUCCAGUUUGUGGUUUUUACAGCAUCCUUGGACUCAUGGCACACUUUAUAAUCAAUGGCAUAUUGCAAUCGGCAGUGUUUUUCUUUCAUAGGACAUAAGUUCACGUGAACUCGACUCUGCUGGUACCUACUCAAUGCCCGGAAGGUCACGUCCUGACUGUGGGGUGUCAUAAACGGAUGCUCGUGGGCACAGUGUUCUCCACCAGCCGGAGCCCACGGCUCUGGGCAUUCUUCCAGCCUGCUGGGGGUAGGUGUAACCACCUGUGCUGCUGCAAAGUUCUCGGUCUCUAGGGCAGUGCUUUCUCUAAACCACAG